GUUUCAGCAGCCGCGGUAAUACGUAGGUGGCGAGCGUUGUCCGGAUUUACUGGGCGUAAAGAGCGCGCAGGCGGUCGUAUAAGUCGAAUGUGAAAGCCCCUGGCUCAACUAGGGAGAGUCAUUCGAUACUGUUCGACUCGAAGGCAGGAGAGGGAAGUGGAAUUCCGGGUGUAGUGGUGAAAUGCGUAGAUAUCCGGAGGAACACCAGUGGCGAAGGCGACUUUCUGGCCUGUUCUUGACGCUGAGGCGCGAAAGCUAGGGGAGCAAACGGGAUUAGAAACCCUAGUAGUCC
rnacentral:rRNA from 1 species